rnacentral:rRNA from 1 species
GACGAACGCUGGCGGCGUGCUUAACACAUGCAAGUCGAGCGGUAAGGCCCUUUCGGGGGUACGACGAGCGGCGAACGGGUGAGUAACACGUGGGUGACCUGCCCUCAGCUCCGGGAUAAGCCUGGGAAACCGGGUCUAAUACUGGAUAUGACUCCAUGACGCAUGUUGUGGGGUGGAAAGCCUUGUGCGGCUGAGGAUGGGCCCGCGGCCUAUCAGCUUGUUGGUGGGGUGAUGGCCUACCAAGGCGACGACGGGUAGCCGGCCUGAGAGGGCGACCGGCCACACUGGGACUGAGACACGGCCCAGACUCCUACGGGAGGCAGCAGGUGGGGAAUCUUGCGCAAUGGGCGAAAGCCUGACGCAGCGACGCCGCGUGAGGGAUGACGGCCU